rnacentral:rRNA from 1 species
UACAGAGGGGGCGAGCGUUGUUCGGAAUUACUGGGCGUAAAGGGCGCGUAGGCGGCCCGCUAAGUCGAACGUGAAAUCCCCAGGCUCAACCUGGGAACUGCGUCCGAUACUGGCAGGCUUGAAUCCGGGAGAGGGAUGUGGAAUUCCAGGUGUAGCGGUGAAAUGCGUAGAUAUCUGGAGGAACACCGGUGGCGAAGGCGGCCUGCUGGGCAGUUUAGCUGACACUGAGGCGCGACAGCGUGGGGAGCAAACAGG